AUACGUAGGUGACAAGCGUUAUCCGGAUUUACUGGGCGUAAAGGGCGUGUAGGCGGUCUUGCAAGUCAGAAGUGAAAUUCCUGAGCUCAACUCGGGCGCUGCUUCUGAAACUGCAGGACUUGAGUGCUGGAGGGGAUAGCGGAAUUCCUAGUGGAGCGGUAAAAUGCGCAGAUAUUAGGAAGAACACCGGUGGCGAAGGCGGCUAUCUGGACAGUAACUGACGCUGAGGCGCGAAAACGUGGGGAGCAAACAGGAUUAGAUACCGUGGUAGUCCACGCCGUAAACGAUGAAUACUAGGUGUAGGGGGUAUCGACUCCCUCUGUGCCGCAGUUAACACAAUAAGUAUUCCGCCUGGGGAGUUCGGCCGCAAGGUUGAAACUCAAAGGAAUUGACGGGG
rnacentral:rRNA from 1 species